rnacentral:rRNA from 1 species
UACGUAGGGGGCAAGCGUUGUCCGGAAUCAUUGGGCGUAAAGCGCGUGUAGGCGGCCAGAAAAGUCCGCUGUGAAAACUCGAGGCUCAACUUCGAGCUGUCGGUGGAAACUUUCUGGCUAGAGUCCGGAAGAGGAGAAUGGAAUUCCUGGUGUAGCGGUGAAAUGCGCAGAUAUCAGGAAGAACACCUAUGGCGAAGGCAGCUCUCUGGGACGGUACUGACGCUGAGACGCGAAAGCGUGGGGAGCGAACAGG